CCAGAAUUCAGUGGUCGUAUAAAGCUGGGAGAGAGAUGUAUGGUGAGUCUCUUGUUACCCAGAAUGCUCUGCUUACUUAGGCACUAAAUGCAGCAGUUCCUUAAAAAAAAAAAAAAGGAAAAAGAUAUUGAGGCUAAAAGCAGGACCAGAGCAAGACAUUUGCUGUCUUAGGAAAAGAACAAGAUUGUGCCAUCUCCCAGUUCCACAUGCAGAAGUCAACACUUUUCAUUGCAAUAUUAAAUCGCUGCUGUUCUCUCACCAAAGAGUACUUUCCUCAAACUUGGGGCUUGACUUCCAGGAUUCCAACAACUAGUCUGGGGCUGCCACCACAUGUUACUUUCAUCCUCCUUAGUAUGUUACCCUUGUAGAAAUCCAUAGGAAUGAGGAUGGGGACAAAGUUAGUUAGCUCAACCUGUGGCUCCAUCUAUAACUGGCUUUGCCUUCACCUACCACUGACUUCCCAGCCUUCUUCCCCACCAGUCCCACAGGGCACCAGAUAUUCUUGCUCUCCAUAUUUACCUCAUUGGCUCUUGGAUAGCCUGCAGCCAAGACCAGCAGUAAGAGAAGAGGUGAAACAUACUCCAGCAAACCACAGAGAUGAACAGGGGCAGGGUGAGUCUCUGGCUUUCCCCCGCCGUCCUUGAAGAAAAAUAGCAAAGCAACAAUCCUGUUGUAAAAUUUUCUUCCCUUAAAAAAAUGGGGGGGGGGAUGCUUUACUGGUGGCUAUGUGCAUACUUCAGUAUAGGGCAGGUUGAUGGCUUAAAAUAAAUAAAUAGCAGACUUUAGAUUUUAACUAAGACCCCAGGAUCUAUCAAUGGAACCCAGUACAAAAUACAUGCUUAAAAUCAAAGAUUUUGGACUCCACAAUUUUGUUUUGAAUAGCAGAACUGAAUGGUGCUCUCUCAGUCCUUACACACACAUGAGAACAUAAGAACACGCCUGCUAGAUCACGCUAGUGCCCCAUCUAGUCCACCACAGUCAGAUGCCUGUGGCAGACAUGCAAGCAGGGCAUCAGUCACCUGAGCACAGCAGCAGUCUCCCCUCAUGAAGUUUCCAGCAAUUGCUAUUCAGAAGAAUUACUGCCUCCAGUUGUGGAGGCAGAUCAUAGCCAUGAAGGUGAGCACUCAUUGAUAGCCCAUUUCUCUGUCAAAUCCUCUUUUAAAGCCAUCAGACUUGGUGGCCAUCGCUGCCUCUCAUGGGGGUGAGUUCUGUAGUUUAACUGUGAGCCAGGUGAAGUAGGACUUUUAUUUUGUCUGCCCUGAAUCUUUCAACAUUCAUCUUCAUUGGAAACCCGUGAGCUCUAGCGUUAAAAGGGAACAGCUUUUCUCUGUCCACCUCCUUCAUGCCAUGCAUAAUUCUUUAUAUACUUGUAUCAUGUUGCCUCUUACUCAGCUCUUCUCUAAGCUACCCCAUCCCCAAGUGCAGUGAGUAUACCUGUAUAUUAUACAGCUGUAAUCUAUCCUGGGACCUUACAGUGAAGUGCAGAUUUUUAUUUAUUAAAAAAAACACACCUUAUAAAUAAAUAUAUCCUUUCCUCAAAUCUCUCUUUCAAAAGCUCUUUACAUGGACUUUGAUCCAGGAUUUGGCUCUGUAAGAGAUUGAUGGUCCCUUGCUUCGCACACUGCAUCUCCCCUUUCCUCUUGAAGAUCAUCUCCCAACAGUCAAUUAGGCCUAACCUAACAGAAAGCCAUGGCCAGGAAUAUAUUUCAGAUAUGUGUGGCUAGCAAACCAAGGCAGGCUGAAGAAUUCCUAUUAGGUCAGGAGGGUGAAAUUAAAACAGAAACUCUCACCUGUUUCUUGCUUUCAUGUGUUGCUCUUCCCUGUUGAUGGCUCCGCUGCAUCCAGCUAAACUUAAUCUGGAUUUAAUGUAUUCACCAUCCCUUGUUUCUUUAAUCCCAAGGACAUCCAAGGGAGGAAAAACGGCAAAUCCAAAGGACUGUCAGUUUGAAGGCCUUGCUUCUUUAUCCAGAAAUGACAAGAUGUGUAUGAGAAGAUGCCUAUGAUUUCCUGCGCGGGCUAUGCCAUGAGUGUCUGAGGAAAGGAGCAAUCAGAUUUGUCACUUCUUUUAAAUGGCUUGAGAAAAUGGAACAUACCAAUUGGGCAGUUCAGCAAAUCUCUUGUAAUGGAUCACAUCACGGUUCAGUCAGUCAUGUGUUGGUUUAAUCCUGGGAUUGACCUCUCUGCACCUGCAGGAAAGCACAGACAUUCGUUCUACAGUCAUUCUGAAACUUCCUUGUUUGCAGACAACAGUCAGUCAGUGUACUGGAUAGAUCAGAGAUGGGGAACUUGUUGUCCUGCAUAAUUUGUUGGACUACAAUUCCCAUUACUCCUGAUAAUUGUCCAUGCUGGCUGGAGGUGAUGGGAGUAGGAGUCCAGCAACAUCUAGAGAGCUGCAAGUUUUGUAUUCUUGGGAGAGAGAGUCUUGGACAAGUGGGCAAGGGCAGCAGGAGAGCCACUGUGAAGCAAUUUAAAAAGCAGAGACAAUACAUUGAAAAGCUUCCGUGUACAUAAGACCAAUUCAUAAAGCAGCAUUGAUGACAAUACAAAC